rnacentral:rRNA from 1 species
UACGGAGGGUGCGAACGUUGCUCGGAAUCAUUGGGCGUAAAGCGCACGUAGGCGGCUCUUUAAGUCGGGGGUGAAAUCCUGGAGCUCAACUCCAGAACUGCCUUCGAUACUGUAGAGCUUGAGUUCGGGAGAGGUGAGUGGAACUGCGAGUGUAGAGGUGAAAUUCGUAGAUAUUCGCAAGAACACCAGUGGCGAAGGCGGCUCACUGGCCCGAUACUGACGCUGAGGUGCGAAAGCGUGGGGAGCAAACAGG